rnacentral:rRNA from 1 species
ACUCCUACGGGAGGCAGCAGUGGGAAUAUUGGACAAUGGGGCAACCCGUGAUCCAGCGAUGCCGCGUGUGUGAAGAAGGCCUGAGGGUUGUAAAGCACUUUUAGUGGGGAGGAAUGUUGACAGGUUAAGAGCUAGUUAACUUGACGUUACCCACCAUAAACAGCACCGGCUAACUCCGUGCCAGCAGCCGCGGUAAUACGGGGUGGCAAGCAGUAUCGAGUAUUGGCUGUAAAGCGCAUGUAGGCGGCUCUUUAAGUCUGAUGUGAAAGCCUGUGGCUCAACCACAGAAUUGCAUUGGAUACUGGAGAGCUAGAAUCUUGGAGAGGUAAGUGGAAUUUCAUGUGUAGCGGUGGAAUGCGUAGAUAUAUGAAGGAACACCAAUGGCGAAGGCAGCUUACUGGACAAGUAUUGACGCUGAGAUGCGAAAGUGUGGGUAGCAAACAGGAUUAGAUACCCUGGUAGGCUCUG